CUGUUCACUAAGUUGUUGUAAAAAACACAAAGAAAAACCAUGUUCUAGACCCCAAGUUGAAGCAGUUCCCAAGAUACGCAGAGAUAAUGUAGACUAUGAAUAUCCUUCUGAAGACACAGUACCAAUGGAAAAACUGAAGCUGCUUGAUCCCUCCUGGAUACUUCCCACUUUAAGGACUGUUUGGACAGUCUGAAGAUAUUAAGAAGUGCCUAGAAAAUCCCAAUGUUAGAGCUAUAUUAGAAGAAUUAGACAAAUCAACACAACCUGAUAAGUUAAUUAGUAAAUAUAUGCAAGAACCUAUUUUUACUGAAUUUGUUGAUGCUUGUUUAGGA